rnacentral:rRNA from 1 species
GACGAACGCUGGCGGCGUGCUUAACACAUGCAAGUCGAACGGAAAGGCCCUGCUUUUGUGGGGUGCUCGAGUGGCGAACGGGUGAGUAACACGUGAGUAACCUGCCCUUGACUUUGGGAUAACUUCAGGAAACUGGGGCUAAUACCGGAUAGGAGCUCCUGCUGCAUGGUGGGGGUUGGAAAGUUUCGGCGGUUGGGGAUGGACUCGCGGCUUAUCAGCUUGCUGGUGGGGUAGUGGCUUACCAAGGCUUUGACGGGUAGCCGGCCUGAGAGGGGGACCGGCGACAUUGGGACUGAGAUAGGGCCCAGACUCCUACGGGAGGCAGCAGUGGGGAAUAUUGCACAAUGGGCGGAAGCCUGAUGCAGCAACGCCGCGUGCGGGAUGACGGCCUUCGGGUUGUAAACCGCUUUCGCCUGUGACGAAGCGUGAGUGACGGUAAUGGGUAAAGAAGCACCGGCUAACUACGUG